rnacentral:lncRNA from 1 species
CUUAUCUACCAGAGUGAAACCUUCUGUGCCAUCCAAAGGACCAAUAUCCUUAGGAGGUAUUGCAUUCUGCCUUGGAACUACCUGUUGGUUGGGGUUCUCCAUAGGUUGUAUGUCAUUAUGAAUUGGCACUUUAACUUUCCACUCCUGGGUAAUUCUAGGUUUUUGUAUAGGUUGAGGGGGUCUAGGAAUGGUCAGGCAGUUAUG